rnacentral:rRNA from 2 species
UUUAUUGGAGAGUUUGAUCCUGGCUCAGGAUGAACGCUGGCGGCGUGCCUAAUACAUGCAAGUCGAGCGAAUGGAUUAAGAGCUUGCUCUUAUGAAGUUAGCGGCGGACGGGUGAGUAACACGUGGGUAACCUGCCCAUAAGACUGGGAUAACUCCGGGAAACCGGGGCUAAUACCGGAUAAUAUUUUGAACUGCAUGGUUCGAAAUUGAAAGGCGGCUUCGGCUGUCACUUAUGGAUGGACCCGCGUCGCAUUAGCUAGUUGGUGAGGUAA